GUGAGGUCUCCAGGGUCUGUGGGGGUGAGUUCAGCUACACUUUCCUACAGUGCAUUUCUCCAGGCCAUGGUGCUUUUGUCCUUGAUUGUAUGAAGAACACGUGUAGAUCUCAUUGCUAAAGCUGCGCUGAGAGUGUGCUACGGCUGGGACUGGCUGAGACAUUGAUGUGGGAUCAAUACCUUUAUUGAGAAGAUAAACCAGGGUUACUAAUCAGAUCUGAAGAAACAGAAGUGCAAAGUCUGUUACAGUAAACCAAACUGACAGUGACACCGGGCACGGCCACACUGCGGCCAGACAGCUGUCAGGGGCCCUGUCCAGCCUGUGAAUAGCAAGACGCUGAUCCCUCCAACCAAUUCUGAUGAUGCCUCCAAUCUCAUAUCCCUCCCGAAUACAUGGCUGCAUUUGUAAAAUAGACCAAGACCAUGGAAAAUGCUGUCACUCUGACUAACUUAUAAACCAAACACAAGCCUGGACACAGCAGACAGCAGAAUGGAGGUACUUGCUUUCUUUAUGGAAGAUUAAGUGAUUUUUAAUGAUUUAGAAGUUGGAAUGCUUCCUCCGAGAACUCGAGGCCUGGCUAUAAGACAAGCUGUACCUCCUUCAUAAACAGAGAGCAGAGCACUCAGCUCAAAAAUACGGGUUUAGGACUUAGAAGACUGGUUCUGCUGCUAACU